GUGACUGCGUACCUUUUGUAUAAUGGGUCAGCGACUUAUAUUCUGUAGCAAGGUUAACCGUAUAGGGGAGCCGCAGGGAAACCGAGUCUUAACCGGGCGUUAAGUUGCAGGGUAUAGACCCGAAACCCGGUGAUCUAGCCAUGGGCAGGUUGAAGGUUGGGUAACACUAACUGGAGGACCGAACCGACUAAUGUUGAAAAAUUAGCGGAUGACCUGUGGCUGGGGGUGAAAGGCCAAUCAAACCGGGAGAUAGCUGGUUCUCCCCGAAAGCUAUUUAGGUAGCGCCUCGUGAAUUCAUCUCCGGGGGUAGAGCACUGUUUCGGCUAGGGGGCCAUCCCGGCUUACCAACCCGAUGCAAACUGCGAAUACCGGAGAAUGUUAUCACGGGAGACACACGGCGGGUGCUAACGUCCGUCGUGAAGAGGGAAACAACCCAGACCGCCAGCUAAGGUCCCAAAGUCAUGGUUAAGUGGGAAACGAUGUGGGAAGGCCCAGACAGCCAGGAUGUUGGCUUAGAAGCAGCCAUCAUUUAAAGAAAGCGUAAUAGCUCACUGGUCGAGUCGGCCUGCGCGGAAGAUGUAACGGGGCUAAACCAUGCACCGAAGCUGCGGCAGCGAACGUAUCACUUAAAGCGAUUCAGCGGGUUACGAUUGACGGAGCGAAGCGACGUCAAAGCGUAUACAAAGUCGAGUCGGUUUAAGGAUACGUUCGUUGGGUAGGGGAGCGUUCUGUAAGCCUG
rnacentral:rRNA from 1 species